AACUCAUUGACAACCGAGAGUGGACAGAGAAAACUGCGAUUAAAUUUGAAGGAAUACCCAAGCAGGCAGGUGGGAACAACUGUGGAAUCUACAUACUGAUGUACACUCUAUACAUGGCUUUGGGGCUCCGAUUUGAUUUUUCAGAGGUAUGUCAU